UAUCCCUACGGGGGGCAGCAGUGGGGAAUAUUGCACAAUGGGCGAAAGCCUGAUGCAGCAACGCCGCGUGAACGAAGGAGGCUCUUGGGUCGUAAAGUUCUGUUCUGAGGGAAGAAGAAAGUGACGGUACCUCAGGAGAAAGCCCCGGCUAACUACGUGCCAGCAGCCGCGGUAAUACGUAGGGGGCAAGCGUUAUCCGGAAUUAUUGGGCGUAAAGAGUGCGUAGGUGGUUACUUAAGCGCGGGGUUUAAGGCAAUGGCUCAACCAUUGUUCGCCCUGCGAACUGGGUUACUUGAGUGCAGGAG
rnacentral:rRNA from 1 species